UAUUCUUUUAGUAUAAUCUAGUACAACUGACUUCCAAUUAGUUAGACUUGGAUAAACCCAAGAAAGAAUAA
rnacentral:tRNA from 1 species